AUUGAACGCUGGCGGCAUGCUUUACACAUGCAAGUCGAACGGUAACAGGGAGCUUGCUCCGCUGACGAGUGGCGAACGGGUGAGUAAUGCAUCGGAACGUACCCAGUCGUGGGGGAUAACGUAGCGAAAGUUACGCUAAUACCGCAUACGUCCUGAGGGAGAAAGCGGGGGACCGUAAGGCCUCGCGCGAUUGGAGCGGCCGAUGUCGGAUUAGCUAGUUGGUAGGGUAAAGGCCUACCAAGGCGACGAUCCGUAGCGGGUCUGAGAGGAUGAUCCGCCACACUGGGACUGAGACACGGCCCAGACUCCUACGGGAGGCAGCAGUGGGGAAUUUUGGACAAUGGGCGAAAGCCUGAUCCAGCCAUGCCGCGUGAGUGAAGAAGGCCUUUUGGUUGUAAAGCACUUUAAGCGAGGAGGAGGGCACUUAGGUUAAUACCCUGAUGUGUCGGACGUUACUCGCAGAAUAAGCACCGGCUAACUCUGUGCCAGCAGCCGCGGU
rnacentral:rRNA from 1 species